GGAAAGUUGCAAAGAACUUUGAAGAGAGAGUUCAAGAGUACGUGAAACUGUUCAGGGGCAAACGGGUGGGCCCUCGAAGUCCGCGCGGAGAGGGAUUCAGUCUCGGGCGCCGGGCGACGCCGACGACGGCCACCCCUGGGCGGGGACAGCCGGAGCGGGGUCGUAAAGGUGGUCCGGGGCGCACUUCCCUCUCCCGAAGGACGCCGCAGCCUCGCGGAGGUCGGCGGGAAGGAGCAAUGUAGGUAGGUGGCGUGGGCGCCGUUUAAAUGCGGACGCCCCGUGUCUGGCCGCGCAUGGAAGUCCUCGCGCGGCCCCCGCGAGAGGGAAAAAAGCGGUCCCGUUCCCGCGGGACCGCGGCCGUCGCCUCGCGUCAGGCGAGCGGCGGGAGGGUAUCAGGGACGCCGAGCGUUCCGGACGUCACCGCGCGGUGUCGCCGGGCUCGCGGUACCCGGUGGGUCCCUCCCUGCCGCGGCGCGCGGCAGCAAAGAACGGCUUGCGGCGAGUAGGUCGGUAACCCACCCGACCCGUCUUGAAACACGGACCAAGGAGUCUAACAUGUGCGCGAGUCAGUGGGACUCGAAAAAGCCCACGGGCGAAAACGAAAGUGAAUAGUCGAUAAUUACUUCGGCGACCGUCGGGAUCCCCGUCGCUCCUGCGGCGGAGGCGCACCGACGACCUGGGCCACACGCCUUAAACAGCGCGGGCCCGGAGUCAGAGCGUACACGUUGGGACCCGAAAGAUGGUGAACUAUGCCCGGGCAGGUCGAAGCUAGAGGAAACUCUGGUGGAGGACCGCAGCGGUUCUGACGUGCAAAUCGAUCGUCGAACCUAG
rnacentral:rRNA from 1 species